UACAGAGGAUGCAAGCGUUAUCCGGAAUGAUUGGGCGUAAAGCGUCUGUAGGUGGCUUUUUAAGUCCGCCGUCAAAUCCCAGGGCUCAACCCUGGACAGGCGGUGGAAACUACCAAGCUGGAGUACGGUAGGGGCAGAGGGAAUUUCCGGUGGAGCGGUGAAAUGCGUAGAGAUCGGAAAGAACACCAACGGCGAAAGCACGCUGCUGGGCCGACACUGUACGUGAGAGGCGUGAGCGCGGGGGGCGAAUGGG
rnacentral:rRNA from 1 species